GACGAACGCUGGCGGCGUGCUUAACACAUGCAAGUCGAACGGAGUGGCGAAGGGGUGAGUAACACGGGGGUGACCUGCCCUGCAGGUCGGGAUAAGCCGGGGAAACUGGGUCUAAUACCGGAGAGUGUGGGAUGGGCCCGCGGCCUAUCAGCUUGUUGGUGGGGUAAUGGCCUACCAAGGGGGCGACGGGUAGCCGGCCGGGGAGGGGGGACGGCAACCAUGGGACUGAGACACGGCCCAGACGCCUACGGGAGGCAGCGGUGGCGAAUAUUGCCCAAUGGGCGGAAGCCUGCUGCAGCGACCCCCCGUGGGGGAUGCUCGCCUUCUGGUUGUAAACUCCUUUCACCAUCGACGCGUUAGAUGGAGAAGAAGCACCGGCUAACUACGUGCCAGCAGCCGCGGUAAUUC
rnacentral:rRNA from 1 species